AACGAACUACAUACACACCAAACCACACAUGAAAAAAACAAUUAUAUUCGACACCUAAUCUCACCCACAAUAAAACAAGUACUAUAAAGGAAUAAUAAACUGAACAAAAGUAGUGAUACACACACAUACCUUGUGCAUUAUGGUUUUACAAGCACAUAAUUAAAUAUAAAACUCCCGAAUUCUACACGAGCUGCUAAAACGCUGUUAAGAACCCACUACUAGUUGUAGCACCAACCUUAGAAAACCUUUUAGCAGAGGCUACAUACCAAACGCGUUAGAAAAUUGCUGGUUCUCAGUAAAUUUUAUCAAUUAAUACAUGUAAUUACAAUUACAAUGUAAUCUUACAGAGGAUAAGCCCUGUAAAAAAAGCUUUUUAAAAAUAAAAGAAGUCCAUUUAUAGGCCUAAAAACAGCCAUAAUCAAUACUUUACCGUAAACAAACCCUUUCCAAUUUCUUAUAAGACUAGCUACAAAAAGCUGAGAUUUAUGACAAACAAUAAAACUUAAAAUUUUAUGUAAAAAUAAGUAUUAAACACCCCCGCAUUAAAAAUAAAGAUUAAGCAACAACUUUAUUAAAUAAAUAUUUAUAAAGGAACUCGGCAAACCCUAAUUCGACUGUUUAACAAAAACAUUGCCCCCUGUAAUAAAUAGGGGUUAUUCCUGCCCAG
rnacentral:rRNA from 1 species